AUUGAACGCUGGCGGCAGGCCUAACACAUGCAAGUCGAGCGGUGCGGCGGACGGGUGAGGAAUGCCUAGGUAUCUGCCUGUGAGUGGGAGAGAACGUCCGGAAACGGGCGCUAAUACUGAAUACUUUCACAUUGGGCGUGGUCGGAUUAGAUAGUUGGUGGGGUAAAGGCCUACCAAGGCGACGAUCCGUAACUGGUCUGAGAGGAUGAGCAGUCACACUGGAACGGAGACACGGUCCAGACUCCUACGGGAGGCAGCAGUGGGGAAUAUUGGACCAUGGGCGAAAGCCGGAUCCAGCCAUGCCGCGUGUGUGAAGAAGGUCUUCGGAUUGUAAAGCACUUUAAGUUGGGAGGCGUUACCAACAGAAUAAGCACCGGCUAACUUCGUGCCAGCAGCCGCGGUAAUUC
rnacentral:rRNA from 1 species